rnacentral:lncRNA from 1 species
GAUUCACACAGUUUUCUGUCAAUGUCAGAACUAUCUGUAUGUUGUUGAAAGGGAUAGGAAGUAUUUCUUUUGAUCUUCAGUAAAGCAGGAAAGAAACAGAAAUCCUUCCAAGACUUUUCAAGUAUUACAUUUUAAAGCAUUUAGAAGUUAACAAUAUUACAUUUUAAAGCAUUUAGAAGUUAACAAUUGUACAUUAAGCUGAAAGUUCACUUGGAUUCCUCUCAUUAUUCUUAAGUAUUAUUCCAAUACUUCUGUAGUGGAAGGAGUGGGAGUUAUCUGUGUUGUAAAUUUAGCAGUUUUUUCUUCUUUCCUAUUGUGCCUUCACUACUCCAACGGGUCAGUCAUUGAGUACUCCAGAUAAUAUUUUCUAGGGAUGAAUCUAUCAUUUUCCAGUGCUCAAGCAGUUCAAAUUCAAUGACUUGUACUCAUCUUGAUGAAUUGAUAAGGACAGGUUACACAAAAGGAUGUCAGCUUAAGAACACUUCACGGCAUCAUACCCGUUUCACUGGCCUGAGCUUGGAGACUGAAACCUCAGUUCUAAUUCACCCUGCAGUCUAUCAUGGCUGAACUUGGCCGAUAUUUUUCUAGAGUGCCCAUUUGCAAUGUGGAGAUCUCUUCCCAGCAGAAAGAUCAAGAAACUUCUCUGCAGUACUCCAGUGCAGACACAUC